UUUCGAAUCUAGUUGUCAUGCGUGUUUCUUGGCUCUUUAACUACUAAUUCACUGUUCAUAUGGUUCUCUCGGAGUUCCUUGGUUACCUUCUCAUGAGUUAUGUUAUAUCAUAUGAUAUAAUGGGUCUCAUGGUUAUCAUGGUUUCAGCUCUUGUACAUACUGAAUUGUGGCUUAUUAUUGCUUAUGUCUUGUUUGUGGUAUAUAUUGAUACCAGUAAAUAAUAUGUACUUUGAUUGGUGAUGCAGAG
rnacentral:misc_RNA from 1 species